AGGGGUAUAGUUCAAAGGUAGAACAUCUGUCUUCAAAAUAGAGUGUUGUGGGUUCGAGUCCUGCUACCCCUG
rfam:Mycoplasma genitalium G37, complete genome.